rnacentral:rRNA from 1 species
CUGAAUAUGGGGGGACCAUCCUCCAAGGCUAAAUACUCCUGACUGACCGAUAGUGAACCAGUACCGUGAGGGAAAGGCGAAAAGAACCCCGGCGAGGGGAGUGAAAAAGAACCUGAAACCGUGUACGUACAAGCAGUGGGAGCACGCUUCGGCGUGUGACUGCGUACCUUUUGUAUAAUGGGUCAGCGACUUAUAUUCUGUAGCAAGGUUAACCGAAUAGGGGAGCCGAAGGGAAACCGAGUCUUAACUGGGCGUUAAGUUGCAGGGUAUAGACCCGAAACCCGGUGAUCUAGCCAUGGGCAGGUUGAAGGUUGGGUAACACUAACUGGAGGACCGAACCGACUAAUGUUGAAAAAUUAGCGGAUGACUUGUGGCUGGGGGUGAAAGGCCAAUCAAACCGGGAGAUAGCUGGUUCUCCCCGAAAGCUAUUUAGGUAGCGCCUCGUGAAUUCAUCUCCGGGGGUAGAGCACUGUUUCGGCAAGGGGGUCAUCCCGACUUACCAACCCGAUGCAAACUGCGAAUACCGGAGAAUGUUAUCACGGGAGACACACGGCGGGUGCUAACGUCCGUCGUGAAGAGGGAAACAACCCAGACCGCCAGCUAAGGUCCCAAAGUCAUGGUUAAGUGGGAAACGAUGUGGGAAGGCCCAGACAGCCAGGAUGUUGGCUUAGAAGCAGCCAUCAUUUAAAGAAAGCGUAAUAGCUCACUGGUCGAGUCGGCCUGCGCGGAAGAUGUAACGGGGCUAAACCAUGCACCGAAGCUGCGGCAGCGACACUAUGUGUUGUUGGGUAGGGGAGCGU